rnacentral:rRNA from 1 species
GAUGGGUGACAUUCUGGGAAGUCCUAGUGUUGCAUUACCGAAAGGGGUCGAGACCGCGGUAAACCUCUAGUUGGUGCGGUAGAGAGGGAGGGGUGGAGACCGUGGUAAACACGACACGUGUACGUUGUUGAGCGGGAUAAGUGGUACGGUGCAGUAUUCGUUAUUAGGAAGCGUUGUCAAAGAGUGCUCGAUCGUGUUUGUGGUGGAGCCUUGAGGCGGGAGCAUAAUGGACGAAGGCGGGGGAAACAUGUCGGAUGCGAUCAUACCAGCACUAAAGCAACGGAUCCCAUGAGAACUCCCGAAGUUAAGCGUGCUUGGGCGAGAGUAGUACUAG